AACAAUGAACGCCUUCAAUGUUUUUUUGAGGCCAUGCAUGUUAUAACACUUCGUGCAUUGAUUUUAACAUUCCCAUCCACGUUAUAACGUGGUAUUAAUCAUCCAAUGCGGAUGCUCUAAGAGGAAGGGAAAUGGGAAGGUGACAACUUUUAUGAAGAUUAUUAUGAUUGACAAAGGAGAAGGUAAAGAAAGGAGUUCAUGACUAAGCACUCUCCUUUUGUUGAGGAGGUAGUGGCCAAAGAUAUGCCUCCUUAUUUUUGAAUGCCAAACUAACUGAAACGUGGUCCUCUAAAAUGGUACAUAGAGUUGCAAAGACACUCCAUUGGCCAUUGCUAAAGAAGCAAGGGUCCUCUUUGAUUAAAGAAAAAAAAGGUGUCUCCUAAUGAAUUGUAUGGAACUACUUGGUUCAUUGAUAAAACUUACAUGAUGCCCAGCAUUGAACUUGGUGUCCUCUUUGCUGCUACACUGGACCUACAUCCUCAAGGGAGAAGGUAUGCCAGACCAAACAAUCUAACACAUAAUCAUGGAAUAGAUAGGAGGAGAAGGAAGUGAUAUCCAGUUUACCCCCAAAAUAUCUUGAUUUUCAUACUCUUAGCUAGGCAAGGAGUCUACUACCAAAGGCAAGGGAAACUAGGACACCUAGCUGCUGCCUUGACUCAAAGAAAUACUAGAAUGGUGAACUAGUUGUUCAAGCUACUAAUCAGAAAGGAAACAGAGAUUUACAAAAGUAAGGCCAUCGGACUAUGUCAUAUGCCUCCAGUCACCUUCCAGAUCAUGAGGCAUAACAAUCUAUGCCUCAAUCUAGAGAAGUGUAUGUUCAAUGUCAGAUUAGGAAGUCUAUCCGUUUCAUGAUCAACCACAAGGUAAUGGAGGAUAACCACACAAUAUCGUAAUCUUCCUUGACAUGACAACCCUAAUCACCAUAUAUGAGGAUUCUAGAAGUUGACAGGGCAUAUAGAAAUCAUAAUUCCUUGUCCAAUCAAUCAAUUGUAGCAUGUUGUUUUUUAAAUCUGAAAGUAGAAAGACAAAGGAGUGAAGGACUUUCUUAUGGGAACAAAAAUGUGACAAAGCGUUUCAAGAGUUCAAGGAUUAUCUCAGCAUUUCACCACUCUAAGGCACCUAGAAGAAAGAGAUAAGGGCAAAGCCACAUUUAAGGUAGCCCUGAAGCAGUGGCUCUGGUUUAGCUUGAGGAGAGGAAGGGAAAAGCUAAAAACUGAUCUGCAAUAUAUACCAUUCCCUCAAUGGCUUGAGCUUUGGUGAUGUUGAAAUCUACUACAUCUACCAUUGGUUUUUAAUUAAUUUUAGUUUUCUAAUUAAGAUUAGGGUUAAGAUAAAAUUGAAUUCAAAGUCUAGAUUAUAUCAGGGUAAGCCAUCUCAUCAUGAUGUGAUAGAUCUAAGCCCUGUAACUCUUUGUGAGAUGUUGUUUAAGAUUUUGCAUCUGUAUCAGGAUUAGGCACCCUCUUCCCUCUCAAUGGUUUGUGUGCUCAACCCAUAGAAGAUCAUUUAAGGGGAGAGGAGGAAGACUAAGCCAUAUAAAAGAAUACACUUUUAGUUUUCACAAAUUAAUUAUCUUGUUCCAUAGGUUACAUGGUUAUCUUGAGCAGAGAACUUUGUAUCUAUAUAUGACAUUGGAAGCACUAUGCAAUAAUCCAACAGAUCAACAUGGGAUUAUCUGGGGUCAGGACCAAAAUUUGUUCCACACCAGGACUUUAAAUGUUGCUAUUUGUCAAAUAUGUAUUAUAUUUCUAUUCUCAAUCGACAUGGAAAAUUAAAAAAUUGUCCUUACCUAAAAUGAUAAGGGAAGGAAAUUCAGGGUAGUUUUCAAGAGAGGGCAGUGGCCUAGAGAUCUUCUCUCCUAUCCCUUUGCAGCCAUAGGAAACUAGGAUCAACUGUAAGUUAUCGACAUCAAGAUCUCUCAGGGUCACCGCUUAAGUAACUCCCUCAAUUCUUGAAGGUGGCGUUGCCACAAAAAUGGAGCAUUUCAUUAACAAAGUAUGGCAAUGUGAGCUCAAUAACUUUGUUGAAGAGAAGUUGUUAUACUUCUAUUAGAAUUUAGACUCACAAUAUUGAUUGUAGAUACUUAAACACGUCAGGUUUUUUAAUUUAUAAGGAGAUGAAGAUCUUUAGAAAUAUGAAAGAAUUGUACCCUCGACCUAAUGUGAAUCAAGCUGCUCUACUGAAAGCAUUAAUCAUCCUGCAACAAGGUAGAGGCUUUAAUUGUGGCAUUCUGUGAUUAUAUGAUGAGUUAGGUUCUUUGCUUGAUGCAUUGCCUGUCAUGAACCCUUCCCAAGGCAUUGUUCAAAUGAAUGGAAAAGAGCCCUUCAUGAGGCAUCGUUCAACCAAAUGAUGCAGUGGUGACAUGGUUAACUUGCAAGAGAAACAACCUUGAUGUCUCAUUGUCUACUGCAUUUACACUUCAUCUACUCCUUCCAUACCUAUGUCGGGUACUGAAAAUAUUUAGACACCAACACUUUGAGUGCACACUCAAUAUUUCUCUUGAUCUGCAGCCAUGUUAGAUAUUUGUACCCGUCCGAGUAACAUAGAUGCUACUUAGCCUAUUGAUGUUGGGAAGGAACAACUGCCUAAAUGAGCAACUUCGCCACUGGCUAUCUGAAAACGUGGGGCAUAAUUCUCCACCUUCAGGAGUUGAUCUCGAAGGUGAAUACCUAGUGGACUAGGGAGGAGAUAGAUGUCCGGUGAAUCAGGUAAGUGUGAACCAGAUAGAAGGAUUGACUCAAAAAUCCAAAAUAAGAAUCUUGGUUCUCACGGGUUUAGGUGAAAAGGGUUAUUAGCCAUGUAAUCAACAAAAUGAACCCGACAAUAAGAUUUGUUAGCUGUUUACUUUUUUUUUUUUUGACUGACAUUCAAAGUUAGUUCCUCUUCAACCACUUUCUUGACCACCUAGAACAUCUUCAAUCUCGCAGCUUGCCUCCUUACCAUCUGAGCCUCUUUAACAUCCUCCAUGCUUUCAGCCAAACAUCAACAUCAUUCUUCUCAACCUCUGCAUCUUUAAACUCUCAAAGCUCAUUCCUAGCCGCGAGCAAUUUGGCAUCCCAAAUCGAUUGACCAAGCCUAAGAGCAAUGCAUAGUCAUUGGCAAAGGUUGAUAUUUUUCAUGGUCUUCGGUAGAGUAUGAACUUGAUCUUGGUAAUUUGUUCAAACUGGUACAACUCUACAACUAUGUUACCUUUUGCAUCCUUUAGUUUACAUAUUUUUAUGAUUUACUAUGAUUUUUUUUAGUGGUAUUAGCUGUGUGCUAUGGUUGCACUAAGUCUAAGUCUCGAGUCAGAAUUUUAUUUAGUGUCCUUGCGAACGUGAAUUACAGCAAAGAUCUCAUCUUUCCUUUUUCUUUCAUAAUUUUUCAUGGCCCUACUUUGGUGAUUUAUGAACUCUUUACUCAAUAAAUAAUAGCUUUGUUGACCCACGAAUUUUUCACUUUAUUGGUGGCUUUUCUUCAAUAAUGCUGUGGGUUCUUUCUGAUGGACAAACGAUGUAUCUGUUUUUUCCUUACGUCUUUGCCUCUGUGUUCCAUCUUUGUAUCUUUAGUUUAUGCAAAGCAUCUACUAUGCCACAUGAAGUUGUUCAAUAAUGUGCUUGUUGACUGAGGCUAAAUGGAACUCAUUACUCCUUGGUUUUCAGUUAUUUUAAACUAAAGACUCCCAAUGUGCCUCAAAGUUGAAAUCUCUUUCUAAUUGUCAAUGUUGAUAUGCCAAAAGUGUGUAUAUGUCUGUGCUGCUAAAGUCUCAUGCUGUCCCAUGUUACUCUUCUGGCAGAAGACGAGUGCCAAUGACGUAAAAGAAACCUCACCGAUGCCCUGGCUCCUUUAAUGGUCCUGGAACUCAUUUUGAGUGAACAAUUCAGCUAAACAGAAGGAUGAAGAAUGAUGUUACUCUGAACACAAGGAACCGCCCUCGAUGAUGAUCUGCAUGCAGCACUGAAAAUGGUACCAAUAAAGUAUGCUGUGUAGGACCUUUGAAUCUCUGAAACAGACUACAAAGAAAAAGAUCUUUACAAGUAGCAUUUAGAUGGCACAAACAAUGGUGAUGCUUCUCAUCAAGAGAGGAAAAGGGGCUAGCCACAAAAUGAUGAGCAACAUCAGGAUGGCAAAGUGAAGGGAGCAGCUGUUGGAACAUUGAACAAAGUUUACUCUGGAACAUGAAACUGCUAUAAUAGUAUGGAAGCAGUAGCUGUCGGCGCGGGCUCUACCAUGUUUCAUGCUCAAAGCACUUUUCAUUCAUUGUCCCAUUUUUUCCCCCUAUCAGUUCUCCGUUUCCUUUUUCUCCCGUGGUUGAUCUUGAAUCAUGUUGAUGCAUUGAGGAGGGAGGCACGGUAAUGAAGGUGGAUGUGGUGCGUGGAGCAAAGGCAUCGGUUGUUGCAUUUGCAGACGAACUUUAAGAAAAUUAUUGAGAGUUG